rnacentral:rRNA from 1 species
CGGGGGGCUGCACCAGUGGGGAAUAUUGGACAAUGGGGGAAACCCUGAUCCAGCAAUGCCGCGUGUGUGAAGAAGGCCUGCGGGUUGUAAAGCACUUUCGGUUGGGAGGACUGCUUCUAGCACUAAUAUUGUUGGAAGUUGACGUUACCUUCAGAAGAAGCACCGGCUAACUCCGUGCCAGCAGCCGCGGUAAUACGGAGGGUGCAAGCGUUAAUCGGAAUUACUGGGCGUAAAGCGCGCGUAGGCGGCUAGAUCAGUCGGGUGUGAAAGCCCCGGGCUUAACCUGGGAACUGCAUCCGAUACUGUCUAGCUUGAGUACAGGAGAGGAGAGUGGAAUUCCACAUGUAGCGGUGAAAUGCGUAGAUAUGUGGAGGAACACCAAUGGCGAAGGCAGCUCUCUGGCCUGAUACUGACGCUGAGGUGCGAAAGCGUGGGGGGCAAACAGGAUUAGAUACCCCUGUAGUC